rnacentral:rRNA from 1 species
AUGGGUUGUAAACUGCUUUUAUACGGGAAGAAACCCCUCUACGUGUAGAAGGUUGACGGUACUGUACGAAUAAGCAUCGGCUAACUCCGUGCCAGCAGCCGCGGUAAUACGGAGGAUGCAAGCGUUAUCCGGAUUCAUUGGGUUUAAAGGGUGCGUAGGCGGAAUAUUAAGUCAGAGGUGAAAUCCUGCAGCUUAACUGUAGAACUGCCAUUGAUACUGGUUUUCUUGAGUAUAGUUGAAGUAGGCGGAAUGUGUAAUGUAGCGGUGAAAUGCUUAGAUAUUACACAGAACACCGAUUGCGAAGGCAGCUUACUAACCUAUAACUGACGCUGAGGCACGAAAGCGUGGGGAGCGAACAGGAUUAGAUACCCUGGUAGUCCACGCUGUAAACGAUGAUCACUCGCUGUUGG